rnacentral:rRNA from 1 species
CCUACGGGAGGCAGCAGUGGGGAAUAUUGCACAAUGGGGGAAACCCUGAUGCAGCGACGCCGCGUGAGUGAAGAAGUAAUUCGGUAUGUAAAGCUCUAUCAGCAGGGAAGAAAAUGACGGUACCUGAGUAAGAAGCCCCGGCUAACUACGUGCCAGCAGCCGCGGUAAUACGUAGGGGGCAAGCGUUAUCCGGAUUUACUGGGUGUAAAGGGAGCGUAGACGGCAGCGCAAGUCUGGAGUGAAAGCCUAGGGCUCAACCAUGGAACUGCUCUGGAAACUGUGCGGCUGGAGUGCAGGAGAGGUAAGUGGAAUUCCUAGUGUAGGGGUGAAAUGCGUAGAUAUUAGGAGGAACACCAGUGGCGAAGGCGGCUUACUGGACUGUAACUGACGUUGAGGCUCGAAAGCGUGGGGAGCAAACAGGAUUAGAUACCCUUGUAGUC